GAUGAACGCUGGCGGCGUGCCUAAUACAUGCAAGUCGAGCGAACGGACGAGAAGCUUGCUUCUCUGAUGUUAGCGGCGGACGGGUGAGUAACACGUGGAUAACCUACCUAUAAGACUGGGAUAACUUCGGGAAACCGGAGCUACUACCGGAUAAUAUUUUGUACCGCAUGGUUCAAAAGUGAUUGACGGUCUUGCUGUCACUUAUAGAUGGAUCCGCGCUGCAUUAGCUAGUUGGUAAGGUAACGGCUUACCAAGGCAACGAUGCAUAGCCGACCUGAGAGGAUGAUCGGCCACACUGGAACUGAGACACGGUCCAGACUCCUACGGGAGGCAGCAGUAGGGAAUCUUCCGCAAUGGGCGAAAGCCUGACGGAGCAACGCCGCGUGAGUGAUGAAGGUCUUCGGAUCGUAAAACUCUGUUAUUAGGGAAGAACAUAUGUGUAAGUAACUGUGCACAUCUUGACGGUACCUAAUCAGAAAGCCACGGCUAACUACGUG
rnacentral:rRNA from 1 species